UGGGGAAUCUUGGACAAUGGGCGCAAGCCUGAUGCAGCAACGCCGCGUGCGGGAAGAAGGCCCUAGGGUUGUAAACCGCUUUCAGCAGGGAAGAAAAUGACGGUACCUGCAGAAGAAGGUGCGGCCAACUACGUGCCAGCAGCCGCGGUGACACGUAGGCACCAAGCGUUGUCCGGAUUUAUUGGGCGUAAAGAGCUCGUAGGCGGUUCAGUAAGUCGGGUGUGAAAACUCUGGGCUCAACCCAGAGACGCCACCCGAUACUGCUGUGACUUGAGUACGGUAGGGGAGUGGGGAAUUCCUGGUGUAGCGGUGAAAUGCGCAGAUAUCAGGAGGAACACCAGUGGCGAAGGCGCCACUCUGGGCCGUAACUGACGCUGAGGAGCGAAAGCGUGGGGAGCAAACAGGAUUAGAUACCCGCGUAGUCCCUGAGCGGGCUGGCAAGGCGCAU
rnacentral:rRNA from 1 species